rnacentral:rRNA from 1 species
CCAGACUCCUACGGGAGGCAGCAGUGGGGAAUAUUGCACAGUGGGGGAAACCCUGAUGCAGCGACGCCGCGUGAAGGAAGAAGUAUUUCGGUAUGUAAACUUCUAUCAGCAGGGAAGAAAAUGACGGUACCUGACUAAGAAGCCCCGGCUAACUACGUGCCAGCAGCCGCGGUAAUACGUAGGGGGCAAGCGUUAUCCGGAUUUACUGGGUGUAAAGGGAGCGUAGGCGGUGAUGCAAGUCAGAAGUGAAAGCCCGCAGCUCAACUGCGGGACUGCUUUUGAAACUGGCAAACUGGAGUGUGUGAGAGGAUAGUGGAAUUCCAGGUGUAGGAGUGAAAUCCGUAGAUAUCUGGAGGAACAUCAGUGGCGAAGGCGACUAUCUGGCACAUAACUGACGCUGAGGAGCGAAAGCGUGGGUAGCAAACAGGAUUAGAUACCCGAGUA